CGGCGGCUGUCAGUCAGACGAGACGUCAGGUGGCUGGGCUACCCGCGGCUCUCGCUGCCUCUGCUUUUGGCUUGGCAGGCUGUGACUGUUCCGGACGGCAGCUCGUCUCUGUGGAUUGUUGUGGCUGUGUUCCGUCGUCCUCUCCGGUGGUGGUUGGUGUGGUGUUGCCGGGCCUGGGACGUGGAGCUGUGUGUGAGAAGCGCCAUCCCGGGGAGAGGAGAGUGUGUCAGAAGGAUGGUGUGGCCGGUGUAGCUCGGUGUGGGGCUUCAUUGAGCGCUCCCCUCAUCUCUCGUCUCACCUGACCCCCCCUCCCCCUCAUUGUUGUCAGGGUGAGGAGAGGCGCCUGGGCACAGCUGUCCUCUCUGUCCUCCUUCUCCUCCUCUCUAUCAUCCUCCUCCAUGCUCCUGUAGUUCCCCUGUGUGUGUAUGUCCUUCCUGGGAGGCUGGCCUGUAGCUGCUCUCUCCCAGGCUAGAGGAGGAUGUGGGAUGGAAGGGCCAGGCUGUCAUUUACUUGCUGAAUCGUGGGUGAGAUCAGGCUGGGGGGGUCAGAGCAGACAGCAGCAGUGUGUCCCUGGAAGCAGCCCAUGUCCCUGGGGGAGGAGGAUGAUGGACUUCUAGUAUUGAUUUAGGACACUGUGGUGUUUGGGGGGUGGGGGGGUUGGGUAGAAUCCUGUGCGCCGGAUACUUUUUAUUUUUUUAUUUUUGUUACGUUCUAAUAUUUGGAUGGUGUUGUCACCGGAUUUGUGUAGGAUGGUGGCCUCCUCGGAGCGUAUGGCCCAGUGACCACACAUCCAGCGAUCGCUUCCGGAGGGCAUUUUCUGUGAAUGUCUCUUUGCGGCGCGGCUGCCAAUGCAAAAAUGAUGGCGGCGUACAACGGGGGCGCGUCAGCGGCGGCUGGGGCUCAUCACCAUCAUCACCACCACCACCACCUGGCCCACCUGCCCCCUCACCUGCACCAUCAUCACCACCUCCAUCCCCAGCAUCACCUGCACCCCGGUUCCGCUGCCGCUGUGCAUCCCGUGCAGCAGCACAUCGCCUCUUCCUCCGCCUCAUCGGCCGCUGCCGCAGCUGCUGCAGCGGCGGCCAUGCUCAACCCCGGCCAGGCCCAGCCGUACUUUCCAUCGCCCGCCCCGGGACAGGCGCCGGGGCCGGCGGCAGCCGUGGCUCCUGCUCAGGUGCAGGCGGCGGCGGUGAAGGCUCAUCAUCAUCAUCAUCAGCAUGCUCAUCAUGCCCAACAACUGGAUAUCGAACCUGAUCGGCCCAUCGGAUACGGAGCGUUCGGUGUUGUCUGGUCAGUAACAGAUCCACGGGAUGGAAAGAGAGUUGCUCUCAAAAAGAUGCCCAACGUCUUCCAGAAUCUAGUCUCUUGCAAAAGGGUCUUCCGAGAAUUGAAGAUGUUGUGUUUUUUUAAGCAUGACAACGUACUCUCUGCACUUGACAUUCUCCAGCCACCUCACAUCGAUUAUUUUGAAGAAAUAUAUGUUGUCACAGAGUUAAUGCAGAGUGACCUCCAUAAGAUCAUCGUCUCUCCUCAGCCUCUCAGUUCGGACCAUGUCAAAGUUUUUUUGUAUCAGAUUUUAAGAGGUCUGAAGUAUUUACAUUCGGCCGGUAUUUUGCAUCGAGACAUUAAACCAGGGAAUCUGCUCGUGAACAGCAACUGUGUGCUUAAGAUUUGUGACUUUGGAUUGGCAAGGGUGGAAGAACUUGAUGAAUCUCGUCAUAUGACUCAGGAAGUUGUCACUCAGUAUUAUCGGGCUCCUGAAAUCCUAAUGGGGAGCCGUCAUUACACUAAUGCUAUAGACAUCUGGUCUGUAGGAUGUAUCUUUGCAGAGCUGCUUGGACGAAGAAUAUUAUUUCAGGCACAAAGUCCAAUACAACAGUUGGACUUGAUCACGGAUUUGUUGGGAACACCGUCACUUGAAGCAAUGAGGACGGCUUGUGAAGGCGCCAAGGCACAUAUACUCAGGGGUCCUCAUAAACAGCCAUCUCUUCCUGUCCUGUACACACUGUCCAGCCAGGCCACUCAUGAAGCUGUUCAUCUACUUUGCAGGAUGUUAGUCUUUGAUCCAUCUAAAAGGAUAUCUUCUAAAGAUGCCUUGGCUCACCCAUACCUGGAUGAAGGUCGUCUACGAUAUCACACCUGUAUGUGCAAAUGUUGUUUCUCCACAUCUACGGGCAGAGUGUACACUAGUGACUUUGAACCAAUUACGAAUCCAAAAUUUGAUGACACUUUUGAGAAGAACCUUAGCUCUGUACGGCAGGUGAAAGAAAUUAUCCAUCAAUUUAUUUUGGAGCAGCAGAAAGGAAACAGAGUGCCACUCUGCAUCAACCCUCAGUCUGCCGCAUUUAAAAGCUUUAUAAGUUUUUACAGCCAAAUUUGUUCUCGUUUUACUGGCACUGGAGCUGCUUUAGGAUAAAAUCAGCCUAUCCCCAGCAUUCAGCUGUAGGGAAGGUAUGUGGAAGCAGUGGUCUCUUUGUAGCAGUCCAGCAUGCCUCCUGUUCCACCGUUGCUCAGCCAUCUGAGAUGCCGCCAUCUCCACUGGUUUGGGAAUAAGUGUGGAAGACUUACUACUGAAAGUGUCCUGUAGCUUUCCACUGGAGUCUGGGAAUUGCAAUUCUGAAUUCUGAUAAUGCUUGUAUUGUCAUUUUCUUAAGAUUUAACUUAUCAACCACUAAAACGUAAAUCUAUAUUCUAUUUAAGACAAAUUGUGUUUUAGAGACUUUGAGUCUUAUAAAUCAGUGGUUGUUUUAUGGACUAAUUUAUCCCUGAAUUGCUUAAUUUAUAAAUGUUAAGCAGUUUUAAGGCUCAGAACAAAUUGACAAUUGCACCAAAUUUUGCAAAAUAAAUUAGAUUUUUUUUCUUUUUUUUUUUCUUGUAGAGGUCGGUUUGAAGUCUUUAAAUAUUAUUUUAUUUAUUUUUUAAUUAAAGAGUGCAAAUUGUUUUAUAUAUAUACUGAGCCAGCCAUUCCUAAAACCUCAUUUUUUGUUGAUACAAGCAAUUAUUAUGAGGAGUACAUACAUAUUGUCUGUCUGGAGACCAAUCAUGAAGUAAUUCCGAAAAAAAAA